rnacentral:rRNA from 2 species
CUGGUGUCAGCCGCCGCGGUAAUACCAGCACCCCGAGUUGUCGGGACGAUUAUUGGGCCUAAAGCAUCCGUAGCCUGUUCUGCAAGUCCUCCGUUAAAUCCACCUGCUCAACGGAUGGGCUGCGGAGGAUACCGCAGAGCUAGGAGGCGGGAGAGGCAAACGGUACUCAGUGGGUAGGGGUAAAAUCCAUUGAUCUACUGAAGACCACCAGUGGCGAAGGCGGUUCGCCAGAACGCGCUCGACGGUGAGGGAUGAAAGCUGGGGGAGCAAACCGGACUAGAUACCCGGGUAGUCCCAGCUGUAAACGAUGCAGACUCGGUGAUGGGUUGGCUUCGAGCCAACCCAGUGCCGCAGGGAAGCCGUUAAGUCUGCCGCCUGGGGAGUACGGUCGCAAGACUGAAACUUAAAG